rnacentral:rRNA from 1 species
GACGAACGCUGGCGGCGUGCCUAAUACAUGCAAGUAGAACGCUGAAGGAGGAGCUUGCUUCUCUGGAUGAGUUGCGAACGGGUGAGUAACGCGUAGGUAACCUGCCUGGUAGCGGGGGAUAACUAUUGGAAACGAUAGCUAAUACCGCAUAAUAGUAGAUGUUGCAUGACAUUUGCUUAAAAGGUGCAAUUGCAUCACUACCAGAUGGACCUGCGUUGUAUUAGCUAGUUGGUGGGGUAACGGCUCACCAAGGCGACGAUACAUAGCCGACCUGAGAGGGUGAUCGGCCACACUGGGACUGAGACACGGCCCAGACUCCUACGGGAGGCAGCAGUAGGGAAUCUUCGGCAAUGGACGGAAGUCUGACCGAGCAGCGCCGCGUGAGUGAAGAAGGUUUUCGGAUCGUAAAGCUCUGUUGUAAGAGAAGAACGAGUGUGAGAGUGGAAAGUUCACACUGUGACGGUAUCUUACCAGAAAGGGACGGCUAACUACGUG